rnacentral:rRNA from 1 species
GACGAACGCUGGCGGCGUGCCUAAUACAUGCAAGUAGAACGCACAGUUUAUACCGUAGCUUGCUACACCAUAGACUGUGAGUUGCGAACGGGUGAGUAACGCGUAGGUAACCUGCCUGGUAGCGGGGGAUAACUAUUGGAAACGAUAGCUAAUACCGCAUAAUAUUAAUUAUUGCAUGAUAAUUAAUUGAAAGGUGCAAUUGCACCACUACCAGAUGGACCUGCGUUGUAUUAGCUAGUAGGUGAGGUAACGGCUCACCUAGGCGACGAUACAUAGCCGACCUGAGAGGGUGAUCGGCCACACUGGGACUGAGACACGGCCCAGACUCCUACGGGAGGCAGCAGUAGGGAAUCUUCGGCAAUGGACGAAAGUCUGACCGAGCAACGCCGCGGGAGUGAAGAAGGUUUUCGGAUCGUAAAGCUCUGUUGUAAGAGAAGAACGAGUGUGAGAGUGGAAAGUUCACACUGUGACGGUAUCUUACCAGAAAGGGACGGCUAACUACGUG